rnacentral:lncRNA from 1 species
UCUGUGUGUCCGUGUCCUUGUCCCCGAGGUCCCCUCUCUUACCGUGUCCUCAUCCCCUGAGGUCCCCUGUGUGACCGUGUCCUCGUCCCCGAGGUCCCCUGUGUGACCGUGUCCUCGUCCCCGAGGUCCCCUCUGUGUCCGUGUCCUUGUCCCCGAGGUCCCCUCUGUGUCCGUGUCCUUGUCCCCGAGGUCCCCUCUGUGUGACCGUGUCCUCUUCCCCGAGGUCCCCUCUGUGUGACCGUGUCCUCUUCCCUGAGGUCCCCUCUGUGUGACCGUGUCCUCUU